rnacentral:ncRNA from 1 species
ACUGACAUCGGCGAUGGAGUCCGCCGGAAAGCUUUGCUUUCGAACCGCCGCAUAAGGCUGAUGGCGCCUGCGAACCG